ACAAGCGAGUUGCAAGUUAUAAAGUUUCAAGUUUGUCGAGAAUUUCUCUUGAUGAACUUUAAAAACUUGAAGAACUUGAUGAACUUGCUCGUGCGGAGCAUGAGAGGAAGUCUGGCGCCUAAAAUGAUCGGAGCUAAAAAAUCUACCGAAGACGGAAAGCUUGUGCGUAGCACAAGCGAGUUGCAAGUUAUAAAGUUUCAAGUUUGUCGAGAAUUUCUCUUGAUGAACUUUACAACUUGAAAAACUUGAUGAACUUGCUCGUGCUGCGCGCGAGUUGGUAGGGGAGCGUCCUGAUAGCAGUGAAGCAUAGUUGUAAGACUAGGUGGAGCUGUCAGGAGCGAGAAUGCUGGCAUAAGUAGUGAAUCUGCCGAUGAAACUUCGGCAUGCCGAAUACCCAAGGUUUCCUCAGCAACGUCAAUCAGCUGAGGGUAAGUCGUUCCUAAGAGAUGUACCGUCUGGUACACCUCGAUGGACAAGCAGUUAAUAUUCUGCUACUUUAUUUCAAGCGUUAUCACUUAUUUGGAGACGAAGUCUGAAUAUUCAGGCCUUCUUUAGAGGGUUUAAGUAUUAAAACUCACCGCAAGGUGGUCUAAGAUACAAAUACAAUCUCAAUAUAAUGUUGAGAAAGCUGAGUCACUUUAAGUUUCCGAGAAAACCCAAAUGAGGAGUUUGAAAUGAAAUCGUACCGAUAACCGACACAGGUGGGUUGGUCGAGUAGACCAAGGCAAACGGGUAAUAUUGAUUCAAGGAACUCGGCAAAAAAACUGAGCGUAAGCUUUGCAAUAUGCUCUGUCUUGACGUGAAGUCAAGAUUUCAACAAAUGUUUGUCAACCGACUGUUUAGCAAAAACACAGGCUCCUGCAAACCUCAAAAAGGACAGUAUAGGAGCUGAGACCUGUCCGGUACUGGUAAGUUAAUCGUUUCGGGUGACUCUGAUUUCGAAAGAUAUCGGAAUAGCUUGAGGCGCAAGCUCCAGUGAACGACAGCUCUAACCCUGAGAGUUCUAAGGUAGCGUAACCCCUUGCCGGGUAAGUUCCGGCCCGCAUGAAAGGUCUAACGAGUUGACAACUGUCUUGAAUCGAUGCCCGACGAAUUUGAAAUGGCUGUGAAGAUGCGGCCUACCUACACCUGGACAAAAAGACCCCGAGAGCUUAACUGAAACUAGGCAUUGGUGAGAAAUGGUGAACUGUUGAGCGUAGGAGGGAGCCUUCGGGCGACAAUGAAACACCUCUCUUUUACUUUUUUUCACCUUACCAAGCUCAGCUUGGGACAGUACUUGGCGGUCAGUUUAACUGGGGCGGUUUCCUCCAAAAGAGUAACGGAGGAGCGCAAAGGUCAGCUUAUUCCGGAUGGAAAUCGGAAUGUAAGUGCAAACGCAAAAGCUGGCUUAACUGCGAGGAUGACUAUCCGAGCAGAUGCGAAAGCAGGCGUUAGUGAUCCCCCGUCUGGUAGUGAUUACCGGCGGGGCUUAACGGAUAAAAGCUACCUCGGGGAUAACAGGCUGGUGACGCCCGAGAGUUCAUAUCGACGGCGUCGUUCGGCACCUUGAUUUUUUUCAUCGGGGCGCCAUGAGAGUAAUUUCAUAGCUCUGCAAUCCAAAUUGAUUUGGGUCUUUUUAAAUAUAUAUCAGCUCAUAACGGUGAACCCCUUCCGCAAGGUCAGGGCAACACCGUGGGAACCCGAGCAAAUUUUCGGAUAAAACGGAAAAUUUGAACGGGCCCGUAACGACUUAUUCUAUUUUCAAUAAAUAGAGUAGACUCAGUAAUUUAUUAUUGGGUAACACGCUGACUCCUCCGAUUCGGAGGAUGAAGGUAUAGUCUAAACUUCAAGUAAUUGAAGAAUUUUUCGCGAUGUCGGCUCACCGCAUCCUGGGGCUGAAGUCGGUCCCAAUGGUCGGGCUGUUCGCCCG
rnacentral:rRNA from 1 species